rfam:Oryza nivara chromosome 10, whole genome shotgun sequence.
AAUAAGUGCAGUUUUAGCACUGUUCAUGUCAAACAUUUGACCGUUCGUCUUAUUUGAAAAAAAAAUUAUUAUUAGUAUUUUUAUUGCUAUUACAUGAUAAAACAUGAGUAGUACUUCAUGUGUGACUAUUUUUUUUAAAAUUUUCAUAAUUUUUUCAAAUAAGACGGACGGUCAAAACGCUAAACAUGGAUAUCUAUGGCUGCACUUAUU